GCCAGGAUGGUCUAAUCGGUUAAGGCGUCGCCCCGGUCAGGCGAAUGUUGCGGGCUCAAUCCCCGCUCCUGGCC
rnacentral:tRNA from 1 species